GAUGAACGCUGGCGGCGUGCUUAACACAUGCAAGUCGAACGGAAAGGCUCCUGCUUGCCGGGGUCCUCGAGUGGCGAACGGGUGAGUAACACGUGGGUGAUCUGCCCUGCACUUCGGGAUAAGCCUGGGAAACUGGGUCUAAUACCGGAUAGGACCACAUUUUGGAUGGUGUGGUGGAAAGUUUUUCGGUGUGGGAUGAGCUCGCGGCCUAUCAGCUUGUUGGUGGGGUAAUGGCCUACCAAGGCGUCGACGGGUAGCCGGCCUGAGAGGGUGUACGGCCACAUUGGGACUGAGAUACGGCCCAGACUCCUACGGGAGGCAGCAGUGGGGAAUAUUGCACAAUGGGCGCAAGCCUGAUGCAGCGACGCCGCGUGGGGGAUGACGGCCUUCGGGUUGUAAACUCCUUGCGCUAGGGACGAAGCGCAAGUGACGGUACCUGGAGAAGAAGCACCGGCUAACUACGUG
rnacentral:rRNA from 1 species